rnacentral:lncRNA from 1 species
GAGGAAAAAUAUGAAAAAGAGAAACAUAGUAAAACACCUGAAGGAGAGAAAAACAGUAAUAGCACAGUGGAAACUGUAGAGACAGAAGAGACUACUCAGAAAGAGACCAUCAUUCAGCAGGAGAAAGAAAGCACUGACAAUCACACUGUGAACAAUUCUUCAGAGAACACUGAGGACCAAAUAAUUGGAGGAAUCGUCAGGAAGAAAAAGUUUUCCCUGUUUAAGCGAAAGUCACUGACAGGCCAAAAGAAUGUAUGUAGUGGAAAGGAAGAUAUAUCUGGAAAGCCAUUACAGCAUGAACAAGAAAAAGAACAGGAAGACUUAUCUGGUGAAGACAGCAAAGACGAAAACCAGAAUCAGACAUUGGAAAAUCCCAGGGAAACUGUGACUAAACAGGACAGAAGGGUGAAAUCUUCUACUUGUAUAUUACUGUAACACUGUUAUGGUUUGUAAGAAUGUGACAGUCUUAAAGCACAUAGUGCAAUCUUUACUUGAAAACAGUUACAACUCACUAGAGAUGUUGAUGGUUGCUUUUUUGUUGAUUCAACUGCUGUGAUUUUAAACAUG